rnacentral:rRNA from 1 species
CCUGCGGAAGGAUCAUUAGUGAACUCUCGAGGGGGACACAGUUGCUGCUGGGCUUCUCGCAAGUCAUCGUGCACACGGUCUCUCCUCUCGUUCAAUCAAUCUACCCCUCUCUGUGCACCUCUCGUAGGCCGAGAACCCUCGGCUUAUGUACUUUCCACAACACAUCCCACUAUAUCAUCGAACGAACAGCUGUCCGAGCUCUGUCUCGACGCUAGCAAAAGAACACACAACUUUCAACAACGGAUCUCUUGGCUCUCGCAUCGAUGAAGAACGCAGCGAAAUGCGAUAAGUAAUGUGAAUUGCAGAAUUCAGUGAAUCAUCGAAUCUUUGAACGCACCUUGCGCCCCUCGGUACUCCGGGGGGCAUGCCUGUUUGAGUGUCAUCAGACCAUCAACCCGAAGGGCUUUCGAGCUCAUCGGUGUUUGGAGCUUGCGGUGUGCGGGAGAGGCUCUCGCGAGCCCCCUCCGCUCCUCGCGGAAUGCAUCAGCGGAUGUCCGACUGUGGACCGACCUUGGCGUGAUAAACAUCUAUGUCUCGGCUCGGGUCCCGCAUCUCUCGGGCUCUGCUUCGAACAGUCGCGCCAUGAAGUGCGACGGCCCAAUGACGACUUUGACCUCAAAUCAGGUAGGAU